GAAAAGGUUUUAUUAGAAGGUCCUCCUCUCCUGCUGGUGCUGGUUUCUUUUUUGUGGCUAAGAAGGAGGGUGAUUUGAGGCCAUGUAUAGACUACAGGGGUCUGAACAAUAUAAUGGUUAAAAACGCCUACCCUAUCCCCCUCAUCACUGAGUUGUUUGAUCGUGUUAAAGGUUCUAAAUUUUUCACCAAAUUAGAUCUCAGGGGGGCUUAUAACCUUGUCCGUAUAAAGGAGAAUGACGAGUGGAAGACAGCCUUCAACACACGCAGUGGGCAUUACGAAUAUCUGGUCAUGCCUUUUGGAUUGUGUAAUGCUCCUGCCGUGUUUCAGG